rnacentral:rRNA from 1 species
AUUGAACGCUGGCGGCAGGCCUAACACAUGCAAGUCGAACGAGUGGCGGACGGGUGAGUAAUGUCUGGGAAACUGCCUGAUGGAGGGGGAUAACUAACGGACACGGUAGCUAAUACCGCAUACCAGCAGCUGGGCCCAGAUGGGAAUAGCUUGUGGGUGGGGUAACGGCUCACCAAGGCGACGACCACUAGCUGGUCUGAGAGGAUGACCAGCCAAACUGGAACUGAGACACGGUCCAGACUCCUACGGGAUGCAGCAGUGGGGAAUAUUGAACAAUGGGCGCAAGCCUGAUGCAGCCAUGCCGCGUGUAUGAAGAAGGCCUUCGGGUUGUAAAGUACUUUCAGCGGGGAGGCGUUACCCGCAGAAGAAGCACCGGCUAACUCCGUGCCAGCAGCCGCGGUAAUUC